GGAGAACUUCUCAGUCCCCAGAGUUCUUGCAAAAGUUCCAGGACCCACUCUCUCCUGGACUGACUUGGGUCAUGUUCUCUCCCUGAACCAAUCACUGUGACUUGGAAAAAGUGAAAAUGUGUUCUGAUUGAUGAGGGCUAGUUCACCUGCCCAGCCCUGGAGCCAACUCGAGUCCUCGGACCAAGCAGAAGGGCAGAUGAAGGUGCUUUCCACAAUACAACUCACUUCUCUCCUGGAAGCCCUGCCAAUGUUCUCACUCCUCUCUCUGCACACACACCCCAACUGGCCCACACUGCACAGGGGGAGACUGUUGUCCCCAUGGCUCCUCUCACUGCUCCCUGUCACAAACCAAAGUGGCCAGAGUGUUCAAGCUGAGGAAGCUGCAGCAGGAAGAGCAGUGGAGUCAACCAAAGUCCUGAGUUCUAGCCCCUCCUCUGUCACCAACCAGCCAUGAGACCUUUGGCAAGUCAGCCAUGUCUCACUUCUCAGUCUCCCCAUCUGGUCAAAAGUAAAAACAAAAGCAGAAUCAUGGAGGAUUCUUCGGUCUCUAAAGUCACUGCCCUGGAAUAAGGCAGUGACUGCCUUAGUGACUGCCUUGCUAAGAGGACCAGAUCCAGAUCUUUUGGGUGUUAGAGCUUCUUAAGUUGUAGAAAACAGAGUCUAAUUCUAGUGAAGUUAAGCACAAGGGGCACUGGGUCUUAUAAGAUUAAAGGGAGUUUGGAGAGCCAGGCAUGGGAAUGUCAGAACCCAGAGCUGACCCAGAGGCAGGCGUCCAGAACCACACUUGUCCCAUAGCAGGAGCAUCUGACCAGGACCCCACCUCUUGGGUGCAGUGGAGCACCAGCCAUUUUCAGGAGUCCUGUCUCAUUUCCAAGGAGGAAUCACCUACUUGGCCUAGAUUGGGUCAUGGGUUGGCUGGACCCUGGUGACAUUUCCAUCAGACUGCAUCCAAUAAGGAGGAAACAAUGCCUGAAAGGAAAUCAGAGGGCCCUUCAGAAGAGAGGUAGAUCCAGAAAACAUUUGUGAAAGAGGAGAGACAAAUGCUGCCAUUAGGUGAGAAGCCCCUCUUUCUCCAAGAGUCUACGUUCCAACCAGCCUGACCACAUGUGCACCCAUAGAGAACUUCCAAGGUCACAGCACGCCGACUCAGCCUCCGAGCGAUAGCUGUAUCUCUACCUGGCUCUCCGCUGUCUUCUGCAGUUUUCCAUGAAGACCAAGAGUCCCUUGGUCAUUAACCCCCGACCAAGUAACUUAAAGAGAAACCUUCUGCAUAGCUAAUGAGCUUAGCUAAGCAGACAUCACAGGUAAUGUUGUCAUGGCAAGCGGUCUUCGGGAUUGCAUUUACAAAUAAUACAUUAAAAUGGUGGUCUCUGUUAACUAGACAGCUCCUCUGGAAUUUGCAGAAGGGGUGCUGGGUAUAAGAUCAGAGACUCACAUCUGAGUUCUCACUGGGGGUCUCCUGCUUCUUAGCACCCAAGCUGGGCAGCCAGCUCUAUUCUGUCAUCCCUGUGGCUGCUCCACAUUCUCCAUUCCUCACCAGCCUCUCACUCCCAAACCACCUCCCACACACACACCUUCACCCUCCACAAUAUUUUUCAGCCUCUCUGAACAAAGCAUCAGUCCCUGAAGCUGAGCCAAGGACCUGCAUCUCUGGUUGAUGAGGACGGGCUCUCUCCACCUCCCUCUCUCCACCCCCCGGUCUCUGAGGCUUCCCAUAGCCCCUGCAGGUUAAGCAGAGAGGAGAUUAGAAAUUAUCUAAAUCACAACAAUUCCCUGGCAGCUUUUGUAUGAUUGCAGGCUCUGGUGAACUAAACUGUCCAGCUGGGUAAUUGAAGGAAACAUAUUUAUUGAAAUUCACAUGCUUGCAGUUAUACUUAGCCCCUGGAUAUCAGCAAGCUGACCUGAAAGAGAAUAAAAAGCCCCUUCCAGCAUUCCAAGUAAUCAUUCCAUACAAGCCCUUUGGGAUUUAACUCUCUGGUGGCACAAGAGAGCUUUGAUUUUCCACGCUUCUUGUGCCUCUCACUGCUGCCAGCUGCCAGCUGGGCUGCCAGGACUCAGGAAGGACAUGACAAUGAGACCCACCAAUGCUGACAUGCCCCCCUCACAAAAGGCUUUGCCCAAAAGGUGUCAGCAAAUAUGGCCUUACUUUUCAGAGUUCAUUUUACGUUCAGAAAAAGCAGGGCUUUGAUCAGCGGGUGAGUUCACUCUGAGUGACAGCUGCAGGUCGUAGCAGAUGGGUCUCUAGAAUCAGCACCUAACACAGAAGUCCGACCUGGGCAAGGUCACCCCGGGCUCUCCGCAGCUUCAGUGAGACGAGCUGGAAAAAUAUGAGGCUCAGGUGAAGCGUGCUAUGUAUGACAUACAAACAGAGGUGUUUUCUUUUCAUGGAAAGGAGGGCUUACGCGGAGGUUGCUCCCACCAAGCUAUAGAAUCACAGAAAGUACGCAAGGUCAUCAGAACCUAUCUUCUGCCACGUGUUGGAAUCCUUUUCUUAGGAUCCCAUGAUCUAAACUGGGGGGUUAAUUAGCUUUUAGUUCAUAGACCCACCCAUAAUCAGCCGGGGCGUCCUCUAGUUGAGGUCCAUGAGGCCACGUCUGGGUUCAUCAAGAAAGAAUGCUGGGCACGUCUGGCAAGGGCUCUGGAGGGAGAAGUUACAGCACGUGUGCAAGCUUAUUUGUUGUCUCUGAGUUCGACUGUCAGCAGUGUUGCUGGUGAUGAGGACUCUUCCUGAUAAAGAGGCCUGGCCCCCAUAGCCACGGGGAUGACACGUGACAGACAGAAACCAGCCUGAAUGGAAAACUGUUAAAUUCCUGGUCAGCAAACUUGAAAGUAAGUAAGGGGACACACCGCAAGUCCACCUACCAGAAAUAUAUGUUGGUAAAGGUUUAUGUAACUCUUAUGCCCCAAAUUUAGAGAUCCAAAUUUCUUUGGAGAUCCCAUUCAAUAAUCUCAUCUUUUUGUUGUAGGUUUUUUAAGCACCCCGAAGCAUAUUAUAGCAUCCAACUGUAAGUACUGGAGAAGUCUAGAUGGAUCCAGAAUCUUGGCACUGAGACUAUUUUCUGGAUCCACCCAUAAUCCCCCAAAACAAGCAGCAAAAGACAAGACAAAUGCCAAAUGACACAAAUCCUACUUAUUAGGGGAGUGGUGAAAGUAAAUAUUGUGACAUCAAAAGGAAUGCAAGCUAGAGUUGCUAGAUAGCCCAUCUGUAUGUAAGGAAUGCAGAAUUUUCUUGAGCAGUAACAGGAUCUAAUCCAAAGAAAAAGGAGGACAAAACACUAGCCAAGGGAGACUCGACUUUAGAUCCCUACCUCUUAAUGGGAGCCCAGGGUGGCUUCUCUCAACUCAGACUGAGCAGUCCCCAAGAAGCACAGGCCCUGUGACUGGAGAGUUCAGAGCGUUCACGGGCUGCUAUUUGAAAUUACUCCUUAACCUUGUUAAUCAGGCCUCUGAAUUGGGAGUAAAGUUCCUGCUUGCAAAAGGGUUUGCAAAGUAAAAUAGAUUGCAUAAAUCCUAUUUAAGGGAAUUACAAGAAUGAACUGAUUUUAAGGACUUGAGCACAUUAAUCGCUGGAAUAAAGAUGGAUACAACCAAUUACCAGUGGGUUUCAGAGAGUUUCCAAAGUGGUCCACCAGGGCCUCCCUCAGAAACACUUUGUCAGCAAUUAGUGUUGCGUGUAUUUGAAAUUCCAUGUAAGACUAGUUAAGGGAUUUUUUAAAAAGUAACUCAGAUUGGCCUACCCAUCAACGAGGGAUUUAUUCUGCUUUAAACAAAUCCAAUCUAUGAAGAAAACCUAGCUUUAUAAAAUAAAUAAUAUACUAUAAAACAAUUUGCUGUGAUAUUCCUAUAAGCAGGAAGUUCUCCC
ensembl:lncRNA